rnacentral:rRNA from 1 species
ACGAACGCUGGCGGCAGGCCUAACACAUGCAAGUCGAGCGGACCCUUCGGGGUUAGCGGCGGACGGGUGAGUAACGCGUGGGAAUAUGCCCUUCUCUACGGAAUAGUCCUGGGAAACUGGGGGUAAUACCGUAUACGCCCUUUGGGGGAAAGAUUUAUCGGGGAAGGAUUAGCCCGCGUUGGAUUAGGUAGUUGGUGGGGUAAUGGCCUACCAAGCCGACGAUCCAUAGCUGGUUUGAGAGGAUGAUCAGCCACACUGGGACUGAGACACGGCCCAGACUCCUAGGGGGGGCAGGAGGGGGGAAUUUUAAGCAAGGGGGGAAACCCUGAUUUAGCCGGGCCGGGGGGGGAAAAAAGGCCUGAGGGUGGAAAAGCUUUUUCGGUGGGAAAGUUAAUAGGGGACCCAGAAAAAAAACCCCCGGCUAACUCCGU